rnacentral:lncRNA from 1 species
ACUCAAUACAAUGCUUUAAAUAAGAAACAUAAUGAAAACCCUAAUCUAAAGAAAACCCACGUUACAUAAUUUAAAGUGCAUGUAAAUAAAGCCCAUAAUAUAACUAGCCCAUACGACCAUAGGUUACUGAGUAUGAGUAUACGUGUCUUCGUACGCUGCAUCAGUCUCUCCGACUUCGAAAAGAUUUGACCUCGAUCUUAUUUUUCUGUAGAUACACUUGUUCAACUAUGUUGUUAUUUUCUUGGUACCAAAUUCCAAGCGUCUUUGUGUAUGUAGAGAUAGAGCCAUAAAACUUGAGACCUUUAACGCAUGCACUAACAAGAUCUUCAUCUUCUGGAAGUAAAUAUCGUGACCUCAACUCUGCACCGUUUACAUACUGUUUUCUUAGCACACCACAAGUUGAACACACGUGAUUCCACUGGCGGCUGAGAUUAGAAUCCCUUUUACUUUCAUGAGAUUCUCCAAAAUCUCCAUCAUGAAAUAUAAAAUCAACCAUCA